GACGGAGGAUGCAAGUGUUAUCCGGAAUCACUGGGCGUAAAGCGUCUGUAGGUGGUUUAGAAAGUCUGCUGUUAAAGCUUGAAGCUUAACUUCAAAAAUGCAGUGGAAACUUCUAGACUCGAGUGUGGUAGGGGUAGAGGGAAUUUCCGGUGGAGCGGUGAAAUGCGUAGAGAUCGGAAAGAACACCAACGGCGAAAGCACUCUGCUGGGCCGACACUGACACUGAGAGACGAAAGCUAGGGGAGCGAAUGGG
rnacentral:rRNA from 1 species